rnacentral:rRNA from 1 species
UCGAACGGUAACAGGAAGAAGCUUGCUUCUUUGCUGACGAGUGGCGGACGGGUGAGUAAUGUCUGGGAAACUGCCUGAUGGAGGGGGAUAACUACUGGAAACGGUGGCUAAUACCGCAUAACGUCGCAAGACCAAAAAGGGGGACCUUCGGGCCUCUUGCCAUCGGAUGUGCCCAGAUGGGAUUAGCUAGUAGGUGGGGUAACGGCUCACCUAGGCGACGAUCCCUAGCUGGUCUGAGAGGAUGACCAGCCACACUGGAACUGAGACACGGUCCAGACUCCUACGGGAGGCAGCAGUGGGGAAUAUUGCACAAUGGGCGCAAGCCUGAUGCAGCCAUGCCGCGUGUAUGAAGAAGGCCUUCGGGUUGUAAAGUACUUUCAGCGGGGAGGAAGGGAGUAAAGUUAAUACCUUUGCUCAUUGACGUUACCCGCAGAAGAAGCACCGGCUAACUCCGUGCCAGCAGCCGCGGUAAUACGGAGGGUGCAAGCGUUAAUCGGAAUUACUGGGCGUAAAGCGCACGCAGGCGGUUUGUUAAGUCAGAUGUGAAAUCCCCGGGCUCAACCUGGGAACUGCAUCUGAUACUGGCAAGCUUGAGUCUCGUAGAGGGGGGUAGAAUUCCAGGUGUAGCGGUGAAAUGCGUAGAGAUCUGGAGGAAUACCGGUGG